GUGCCCACCCCAGCCAGAACCAGAGGUCCAGAACAGCAGCCUGGACACCAGCACACACAGCAUGGAGCCAAAGGGAAAGAAAAUUAACCUCUGGGCUCUUGCUGGAUCAGCUGCAGGAGUUCCCAGUUUGGAUGUUCCUAUCCUGCUCCAUGCCAAACAUGGUCACUGUGCUCCAUAUGCAAACCCAUUGGUAGCACUGCUGCUGAAUCUUAUUCCAGUUGUGACUGCAAUUUUGGGACACAAAGAAGACAGCUUUACACACUCACUGCCCUCCAGCAUCUCUCUGUUAGGGUAAUUCCCACAUGGAGCACUGGAAAUCUUCAGGAGUCUGUGACUACAGUGAACCCAACCCUGGAACAGGACUGGAAUACAUCCUGGUAUUCAGAGGGAUUUUUGUCAAAUCUGGAAGGAGAUGAAACACCAGAUCUGAUGCACACAGAUGUCUCCAGGCAAGCAGAUCCCUUACUCCCACCACCUCUGAAGGAAUGCCAGGUACAACUCAAGCCCUGCCCCUCUCCUGGGAUGUCAUGAAACAAGCUUCCAGCCAGGAAAUUCUGACAGGAGUAUUUUGAUUAGCAACCAACUUUCUCUGAAAACAGCAACAUCCCUACAUCGAGCUGGUGUUGCUCUUGGUGAUUUUGAAGCAUAUUUCCUUAGUAACAAUCACUUGGGGCUGCCUCAGUGUCUGGAAGGAUGGAGAUGAGAGCAUUAUCUCCCACACACUCCACCCCUUUGGAUGGAGGACAGCUUUAUCCAGCAUCAAAAGCCCAAGAAAAUAUAAUUCUGGUUACUGCCCAACAUGACUGUGCAAAGACGAGUAAACCAGGACCCAGAGAGGCAAGAGAAACAGCUGCUUGUGGCAGCACGUUCCCUGUCUGUCCAUCCAUCUAUCCUCCCAGGUCAGGAGCACGAGAUGGAAAAUUCACAAAUUUAUUCUCUGUUCCCUCCCUCGAGAUACUCAUUUAAGUUUUUCAGCUCUGGGAGCCACAUGUGAACACAAAAAACAGCAGACAGGACCCAGCCAAAUCCCAUCUUUCUUGGCUGAAGUCUCAGACUCCUCCAAGGUGUCACAAAACCAUACAGGAGCACUCAAUAAACAAACUGUA